UGAGGAAUAUUGGUCAAUGGGCGAGAGCCUGAACCAGCCAAGUAGCGUGCAGGAAGACGGCCCUAUGGGUUGUAAACUGCUUUUAUGUGGGGAUAAAGUGAGCUACGUGUAGUUUAUUGCAGGUACCACAUGAAUAAGGACCGGCUAAUUCCGUGCCAGCAGCCGCGGUAAUACGGAAGGUCCAGGCGUUAUCCGGAUUUAUUGGGUUUAAAGGGAGCGUAGGCCGUGGAUUAAGCGUGUUGUGAAAUGUAGACGCUCAACGUCUGAAUUGCAGCGCGAACUGGUUCACUUGAGUAUGCACAACGUAGGCGGAAUUCGUCGUGUAGCGGUGAAAUGCUUAGAUAUGACGAAGAACUCCGAUUGCGAAGGCAGCUUACGGGAGCACAACUGACGCUGAAGCUCGAAGGUGCGGGUAUCAAACAGGAUUAGAUACCCUGGUAGUCCGCACAGUAAACGAUGGAUGCCCGUUGUUAGUUCACUUUAGAAUUAGCGACCAAGCGAAAGCAUUAAGCAUCCCACCUGGGGAGUACGCCGGCAACGGUG
rnacentral:rRNA from 1 species